AACAAACGCUGGCGGCGUGCCUAAUACAUGCAAGUCGAACGGGGAAAGCUUUCGGGUGAGUACUAGUGGCGCACGGGUGAGUAACGCGUGGAUAAUCUGCCUUAGAGUGGGGGAAACUAGUCGAAAGAUUAGCUAAUACCGCAUAAGACCACAAGAACUGCGGUUCAAGGGGUCAAAGGUUUUUCGCUCUAAGAUGAGUCCGGGUAAGAUUAGCUAGUUGGUAGGGUAACGGCCUACCAAGGCGACGAUCUUUAACUGGUCUGAGAGGAUGUUCAGUCACACUAGAACUGAGACACGGUCCAGACUCCUACGGGAGGCAGCAGUAGGGAAUAUUGCACAAUGGAGGAAACUCUGAUGCAGCGACGCCGCGUGAGUGAUGAAGGCCUUCGGGUCGUAAAGCUCUGUCGCAGGGGAAUAACACAAUGAAGGUACCCUGUAAGAAAGGAUCGGCUAACUUCGUGCCAGCAGCCGCCGUAAGAC
rnacentral:rRNA from 1 species